rnacentral:rRNA from 2 species
UACGUAGGGACCAAGCGUUGUUCGGAUUUACUGGGCGUAAAGGGCGCGUAGGCGGCCUUCUAAGUCGAACGUGAAAUCCCCGGGCUCAACCCGGGAACUGCGUCCGAUACUGGAAGGCUUGAAUCCGGGAGAGGGAUGUGGAAUUCCAGGUGUAGCGGUGAAAUGCGUAGAUAUCUGGAGGAACACCGGUGGCGAAGGCGACAUCCUGGACCGGUAUUGACGCUGAGGCGCGAAAGCCAGGGGAGCAAACGGG